GUUCUCACUUCAGCCGCACAUAUACUAAAAUUGGAAUAAUGUAGAGAAGAUUAGCAUGUCAUGCAAAUUCAUGAAGCAUUCCAUAUUUUU
ensembl:snRNA U6 U6 spliceosomal RNA